rnacentral:rRNA from 1 species
UACAGAGGGUGCGAGCGUUGUCCGGAAUCACUGGGCGUAAAGGGCGCGUAGGUGGCCUGAUAAGUAGGGGGUGAAAUCUCGAGGCUCAACUUCGAGGCUGCCUCCUAAACUGUCAGGCUUGAGCAGAGUAGAGGCAGGUGGAAUUCCCGGUGUAGCGGUGGAAUGCGUAGAGAUCGGGAAGAACAUCGGUGGCGAAGGUGGCCUGCUGGGCUCUUGCUGACACUGAGGCGCGACAGCGUGGGGAGCAAACAGG